AGAGUUUGAUCCUGGCUCAGGAUGAACGCUAGCGACAGGCUUAACACAUGCAAGUCGAGGGGCAGCGGGAGGAAAGCUUGCUUUUCUUGCCGGCGACCGGCGCACGGGUGAGUAACACGUAUGCAACCUGCCCAUGACAGGGGGAUAAGCGGGAGAAAUUCCGUCUAAUACCGCAUAACACCCCCGGGAGACAUCUCUCGGGAGUCAAAGGAGCGAUCCGGUCAUGGAUGGGCAUGCGGCGCAUUAGUUAGUUGGCGGGGUAACGGCCCACCAAGGCGACGAUGCGUAGGGGUUCUGAGAGGAAGGUCCCCCACACUGGUACUGAGACACGGACCAGACUCCUACGGGAGGCAGCAGUGAGGAAUAUUGGUCAAUGGGCGAGAGCCUGAACCAGCCAAGUCGCGUGAGGGAAGACGGUCCUACGGAUUGUAAACCUCUUUUGUCGGGGAGCAAUAAGGCGUACGUGUACGCAGAUGCGAGUACCCGAAGAAAAAGCAUCGGCUAACUCCGUGCCAGCAGCCGCGGUAAUACGGAGGAUGCGAGCGUUAUCCGGAUUUAUUGGGUUUAAAGGGUGCGCAGGCGGAAAGUCAAGUCAGCGGUAAAAUGUCGGGGCUCAACCCCGGCCGGCCGUUGAAACUGGUUUUCUAGAGUGGGCGAGAAGUAUGCGGAAUGCGUGGUGUAGCGGUGAAAUGCAUAGAUAUCACGCAGAACUCCGAUUGCGAAGGCAGCAUACCGGCGCCCGACUGACGCUCAUGCACGAAAGCGUGGGUAUCGAACAGGAUUAGAUACCCUGGUAGUCCACGCAGUAAACGAUGAAUACUAAUUGUCCGGGCAGAAUGAUGCCUGGGUGAUACAGCGAAAGCGUUAAGUAUUCCACCUGGGGAGUACGCCGGCAACGGUGAAAC
rnacentral:rRNA from 1 species